GAUGAACGCUGGCGGCGUGCUUAACACAUGCAAGUCGAACGAAGCGAUAGAAACGGAACAUUUCGGUGGGAAGUAUUUAUUGACUGAGUGGCGGACGGGUGAGUAACGCGUGGAUAACCUGCCUCAUACAGGGGGAUAACAGUUAGAAAUGACUGCUAAUACCGCAUAAGCGCACAGGACCGCAUGGUCUGGUGUGAAAAACUCCGGUGGUAUGAGAUGGAUCCGCGUCUGAUUAGCUAGUUGGAGGGGUAACGGCCCACCAAGGCAACGAUCAGUAGCCGGCCUGAGAGGGCGACCGGCCACAUUGGGACUGAGACACGGCCCAAACUCCUACGGGAGGCAGCAGUGGGGAAUAUUGCACAGUGGGGGAAACCCUGAUGCAGCGACGCCGCGUGAGCGAAGAAGUAUUUCGGUAUGUAAAGCUCUAUCAGCAGGGAAGAAAAUGACGGUACCUGACUAAGAAGCCCCGGCUAACUACGUGCCAGCAGCCGCUGUAAUAC
rnacentral:rRNA from 1 species